UAAAAAAAAUUUACUGAGUUUCCUGUAUUUGAGAUUCACCAAAUAAAUUUUCAAUCAAAGCACGUAAAUAACUUUUCAUUCAUUCUGCAUGUAAUCAAAAGAAAAUUUUGAAAUCAAUUCCCUUAUACACCUCAAUACAAUAACCUUCUUUCGGUUUCCACUCUAGAAUGCGCUAUUCUCCACCUCUAGCUCCGAACAAGUUGACGGUUACCUCUUCGCUGAAGUACACUCAAUGAGUAACUUUUCUGCCGGACAAUCUUACAAACAAAAGGUAGGAUCCUCGCAGCCUAUUGAAACAACUUCCUUUAAGCGCAAGCGAGGAGUCUUUCAAAGAGGUAACUGUCUUUCAACUUAUUUUUUUCCUCAUCCAGAGGAUUGGGACACUGAAUUGUGUUGUUGAGCAAUCCCAAAUUUAAUGAUUUGGCCAUUAUGCAUGAAACUUUAUAUGCUAAUUGAUGAACCUGUCAUCUACUAAUUUUAUUUUUUAUUCAUGUGGAUAUCUCCAAUCCAUAACUUUUAUAUGUAAGCUCUAUUAGCAGCUCCUACCUAUGUUAUCUACUAAUACAUCGACAGAUUUUUUUUU